rnacentral:rRNA from 1 species
CUAGCCGUAAACGAUGGAUACUAGGUGUUAGAGGUAUCGACCCCUCUAGUGCCGCAGCUAACGCAUUAAGUAUCCCGCCUGGGGAGUACGACCGCAAGGUUGAAACUCAAAGGAAUUGACGGGGGCCCGCACAAGCGGUGGAGCAUGUGGUUUAAUACGUCACUAACCGUAGAACCUUACCCAGGCUUGACAUCUGGUGUAAGUCCAUGAAAGUGGUACCCCUGUAUGGAAACAUACAGCACCAAGACAGGUGG